GCCUAGGUAGCUCAGUUGGUAGAGCAUUGGACUGAAAAUCCUUGUGUCGGGGGUUCAAGCCCCCCCUUAGGCA
rnacentral:tRNA from 1 species